rnacentral:rRNA from 1 species
GACGUAGGGGGCAAGCGUUGUCCGGAAUUAUUGGGCGUAAAGCGCUCGUAGGCGGAUCGGUAAGUCUGUGAAGAAAGACCCGGGCUCAACUCGGGGAACGGCAUAGAUACUGCUGAUCUUGAGACAGUCAGAGGAUGAUGGAAUUCCAGGUGUAGCGGUGAAAUGCGUAGAUAUCUGGAGGAACACCUGUGGUGUAGACGGCUAUCUGGACGACGACUGACGCUGAGACACGAAAGCGUGGGUAGCAAACAGG